rnacentral:tRNA from 1 species
AACUGAAUAGCUCAGAUGUUAGCGAAGAGAGCUGCUGAUUCACAGCAGUAUCAUUCUGGGUUCAAACCCCAGUUCGGUCA